rnacentral:piRNA from 1 species
AGAGCUGUGACCUUACAAUGGUGACGGUGAC